GGCUGUAGCUCAGUGGUAGAGCACUUGCCUAGCAUGUGUGAGGCACUAGCUUCAAUCCUUAGCACCA
rnacentral:tRNA from 1 species